rnacentral:rRNA from 1 species
GCCGUAAACGGUGGGCGCUAGUUGUGCGAACCUUCCACGGUUUGUGCGACGCAGCUAACGCAUUAAGCGCCCCGCCUGGGGAGUACGAUCGCAAGAUUAAAACUCAAAGGAAUUGACGGGGCCCCGCACAAGCAGCGGAGCAUGCGGCUUAAUUCGACGCAACGCGAAGAACCUUACCAAGGCUUGACACAUACAGGAAUACGGCAGAGAUGUCGUAGCGGUAAAACGUCUGUAUACAGGUGGUGCAUGGUUGUCGUCAGCUCGUGUCGUGAGAUGUUGGGUUAAGUCCCGCAACGAGCGCAACCCUCGUUCUGUGUUGCCAGCAUUUAGUUGGGGACUCACAGGAGACUGCCGGGGUUAACUCGGAGGAAGGUGGGGAUGACGUCAAAUCAUCAUGCCCCUUAUGUCUUGGGCUGCACGCAUGCUACAAUGGCUGGUACAAACGGCUGCAAUACCGCAAGGUGGAGCGAAUCCGAUAAAGCCAGUCUCAGUUUGGAUUGGGGUCUGCAACUCGACCCCAUGAAGUCGGAGUUGCUAGUAAUCGUAGAUCAGCAACGCUACGGUGGAUACGUUCCCGGGGCUUGUACACACCGCCCGUUACGUCACGAAAGUCGGUAACAC